rnacentral:misc_RNA from 1 species
GAGUGCAAAGCGGACACGUCCAAAUCUGUGGGUAUGGCACGAAUCGACUCGUUUAAAAGCACGCUGACAAAACGAGUGGAAGACUGAUAAAGUAACAACUCGAAUAUCGGAAGGCGAGAGAGAAAAAGAUGUUUCUUCUGUGUGCUCGUGGUUUAGUAAGAUCGUAAUUGAUCUAUUUAGUCCUCGAUGUAAAAUUUAGGUCGGCUAGACACGGCAAGACGUUGUAGUUUAUACUGACCGUGUGGUGCGUGCUAACCCUCUUUGGGCGUGCAAGCUGGAUUGUAAGGGAGAUUCCUGACCUCACCUGGACCCCUCUCCUGUAUCCAUCCUUGCACUUCAUAAUUAUACAUGUAUUUGGACCUGCAGAAAGAAUUUCAUCCACAAAUUUGUAAAAGCUUUUAAAAUAGACCCCAGAAGAUUUUGGAAUUCCGAAAACGUGUAGCUAUGCAUGUUACAUCUGUAAAAAUUGGGCAAUGCAUCAAAGGACGGAACGUUAGUGAAAGUGGAUACCUCGUUGUGAGUUCUGGGAAGUAAUCGAAAAACCAGAAAUGAAUCUUUUCCAUGGUAUUAGUUACUACGAUGAUCGACCUCUUGCUAUUCAUCUCCGCCACAUUGGUAGCUUUGUUCCUCUUUGACCAAUACGUUCGUGAGGUGGCAGAAAAAUCGCAACAGCGACCGUAUGUCUACAGUGACGUGAAGAAAGACGAUAACUACUAUAAAACCAGCAUCUUCGCUGUUCUUGGAUUCUCACGAGUUGAUGUGAAAUCAUUCACGGCUUUCAGAGACCAAUUUCAGAGUUACGCACAGGUUAGCGCCGCUAUGCGGCAAGCUGGCCUAGACAAAGUUCGUCUGAUUGUUGGAAUUGACUUCACCGCCAGUAACGAGUGGCAAGGAAGAAACAGUUUUCGUGGCGAGUGUUUACACGCAUUACGUGGAAGCGCCGUCUAUAACCCAUAUCAAAAAGUUCUCUCAAUUCUAGGGAAAACCCUCCAGCCUCUGUUGCAAGGUUUUCCGAUUCCGGCGUUCGGGUUUGGCGAUAUCCGAACUAAAGAUGUAGACGUAUUUCCCCUAAAAGGUACAGGAGCUCCAUGCAUUGACUUCAUAGAUCUCCUACACGCCUACAAUCACACUGCCCAGAGGAUUCAACUAAGCGGACCGACUAGUCUAGCACCUGUCAUUUACCGUUCAAUCGAUAUCGUCAGACACUCUCGAGCAUUCCACAUAAUUUUAAUCGUUACAGAUGGACGCCUGUCUGAAGACGAUAGUGCCUCAAAGCGCGCCCUGGUGGAAGCCUCUCGAAAUGCUCUAUGUGUAGUGGCGAUCGGUGUUGGAGACGGGCCCUGGCAUACUAUGGAAGAGUAUGACGAUCGUCUGCCAGACCGAAUGUUUGACAAUUUUCAAUUCGUUAGUUAUCAAGAAGUUCUUAAGUCUUCAAAGAGCCCAGAAGCCGCUUUGGCUCUUCAUGCCUUGAUGGAAGUUCCUGACCAAUACAACGCAGUUCGAACGCUAGGAUUUCUAGAAAAGCCUCAAAAUAAAGAAAACUAGCAUAUUUCGUCAAGAAAUAACUCUUAUGGGGGAUAAAAUGCAGUUAUUCCACGGAGAUACAUAUAUUAAGGGUGGUGAAACUCUGUUCCGCAUGCUUUCCUUUUUCAAUUUUCAAUCUAUGCAUCAAUGUUCUUAGAUAACUCUGAAAAGUCUUACAAUUUAUUACCCUAAAAGUGGUGUAAAGCUAUUUAACUAAAGUACUUUAUUUUAAAAACUUUAAACUUUAUCACAGCUUUAAACGACUCGAGUAAAAUGGUCAAGCUUAAUACCCGGUAAGGUGGUCUAGCUUAACCUAGUAAAGCGUACCCGGUAAGGUGGUCGAGCUUAAUACCCGGCAAGGUGGUCUGGCUUAAACUACUAAAACCUACCUGGUAAGGUGGUCAGUCUUGUAAACGAUUAAAUUCUACCCGGUAAGGUGGUCAGUCUUGUAAACGAUUAAAUUUCUACCCGGUAAGGUGGUCAGUCUUGUAGACGAUUAAAUUUCUACCCGGUAAGGUGGUCAGUCUUGUAGACGAUUAAAUUUCACCCGGUAAGGUGGUCAGUCUUGUAGACGAUUCAAUUUCCACCCGGUAAGGUGGUCAGUCUGGUAGACGAUUCAAUUUCCACCCGGUAAGGUGGUCAGUCUGGUAGACGAUUCAAUUUCCACCCGGUAAGGUGGUCAGUCUGGUAGACGAUUCAAUUUCCACCCGGUAAGGUGGUCAGUCUGGUAGACGAUUCAAUUUCCACCCGGUAAGGUGGUCAGUCUGGUAGACGAUUAAAUUUCUACCCGGUAAGGUGGUCAGUCUGGUAGACGAUUAAAUUUCUACCCGGUAAGGUGGUCAGUCUUGUAAAAGAUUAAAUUUCUACGUCCUUAGUAAUGAUGCGCUGAAAACGACAUUUGCUUCUUUAGUGAUAAUGUAAAGUUUAAAAAUCAAUAUAUAAUUUAUUUUUACAAGUAGUGAUAAAAUUAUAAAAUCCAGUUAAUAAUUUUAUGAUGGCGAUUCUGGCAUUUAAUAGAAGUAUUUUAUAUAUGUAUAUUUAAUUAUUUUUUAAUUCACUAGGCUCUGGAUUAUUUGUUCAUAUAAAUUAGAAAUGUAUUCUUUCGCUAUCUUGUCGCAAUGUUUUGAUCGAGGUUAAUUAUAUAUUCUUUUAUCUUAUUCCGUGUUAAAAGUUUUGUACACAUUUCUUUUUUAUUAAUUAAUAGGAGCGUCAGCGGUUAAAAAAUUUAAACCUUUUAAUAAACAACUUAAACCUCAUUUGGAGAAAAAGUGUCAGCCGUCUAGUUAACAGUGUUUUCAACAUAAUCUACAUACAAGUAUAAAAUAAAUUUAUCGAAAUCAUGCAAGUAUUAAUAGGACUUCGAAAUGUUAGGGUUAAUUAAAUUCGUUCGCAAUCUGUAUUGUUCUGCCAUCUGGUGAGUUUUUUAAUUAAAUAUCUGUAGAAAAUUAGAGACGCUUAUAUCUGUAAAUCGCUAGUUUUAAACCACCACUAAAAAACUGGUGGUAUUUUUUAAAUUUAGAUUUCAAGCGAAUUUCAUUCCUUUUAAUACGAGACUUUUGAUAAUUUUUUUGAGAACAUAAAAUGUUUUGAAGUACUUCUGUUUAAGCUUUUGUUGCUGUUUUGAUUUCAGUUUUGGGUUUAUUAAAUUUGAAAGAAAAAAAA